UACGUAGGGGGCAAGCGUUGUCCGGAAUCAUUGGGCGUAAAGCGCGUGUAGGCGGCUUGGUAAGUCUGCUCUGAAAGCCCGGGGCUCAACCCCGGGAGGCGGGUGGAUACUGUCAAGCUCGAGUCCGGAAGAGGAGUGUGGAAUUCCUGGUGUAGCGGUGAAAUGCGCAGAUAUCAGGAGGAACACCAAUGGCGAAGGCAGCACUCUGGGACGUGACUGACGCUGAGGCGCGAAAGCUAGGGGAGCAAACAGG
rnacentral:rRNA from 1 species